GAUGAACGCUGGCGGCGUGCCUAAUACAUGCAAGUCGAGCGAACAGACGAGAGUGCUUGCACUCUCUGACGUUAGCGGCGGACGGGUGAGUCACACGUGGGUAACCUACCUAUAAGACUGGGAUCACUUCGGGAAACCGGAGCUAAUACCGGAUAAUAUUUAGCUUCGCAUGAAGCAAUAGUGAAAGACGGUUCUGCUGUCACUUAUAGAUGGACCCGCGGUGUAUUAGCUAGUUGGUGAGGUAACGGCUCACCAAGGCAACGAUACAUAGCCGACCUGAGAGGGUGAUCGGCCACACUGGGACUGAGACACGGCCCAGACUCCUACGGGAGGCAGCAGUAGGGAAUCUUCCGCAAUGGACGAAAGUCUGACGGAGCAAUGCCGCGUGAGUGAAGAAGGUUUUCGGAUCGUAAAACUCUGUUGUAAGGGAAGAACAAGUACGUUAGUAACUGAACGUACCUUGACGGUACCUUACCAGAAAGCCACGGCUAACUACGUG
rnacentral:rRNA from 1 species